rnacentral:rRNA from 1 species
GAUGAACGCUAGCUACAGGCUUAACACAUGCAAGUCGAGGGGUAACAAGAGAAAAGCUUGCUUUUCUUGUUGACGACCGGCACACGGGUGAGUAACGCGUAUCCAACCUGCCUAUAACUAGGGAAUAACCUUGCGAAAGUAAGACUAAUACCCUAUGAUUUCCUUUGAUGGCAUCAGAUUAGGAAUAAAGAUUUAUCGGUUAUAGAUGGGGAUGCGUCGGAUUAGCUUGUUGGCGGGGUAACGGCCCACCAAGGCAACGAUCAGUAGGGGUUCUGAGAGGAAGGUCCCCAACAUUGGAACUGAGACACGGUCCAAAAUCCUACGGGAGGCAGCAGUGAGGAAUAUUGGUCAAUGGGCGGAAGCCUGAACCAGACAAGUAGCGUGCAGGAUGACGGCCCUAUGGGUUGUAAACUGCUUUUAUACAUGAAUAAAGUUAGCCACGUGUGGUUAUUUGUAGGUACUGUAUGAAUAAGGACCGGCUAAUUCCGUGCCAGCCGCCGCGGUAA